UAACAAGCCCACCAGGUGAUUCUGGUUCAGCUAAAGAACUAGCCUGGCUCAAAGCUUCAGAAGAAAGAACUGUCAUCCGCUCUGGAGGGAAGGAGGUGUGAUGGGGGAGGCAACGGCAGCUGGGGCGAUCCAGCUUGCACGAUGGGGCUCGGAACCCAGGAGCACCAGCCAGGCUACCUGUCAGCUCCUGCAGGGUCUACAUUGUUCUACAUGCCAACGGAGUUGAAUUCCCUUCAUGCAACGCAGCAAUUUUCCUCUCAGACACACGCUAUAAUUAGUGGGUUUCUUAAUCACAGAGGCAUGAAGUAUCGCGUGCUGGGGAGAGGCGGUGGCCAACAAGCAGCUACAGCUGCAGACUGUAGUUUGCAAGAUUCUAUCCUGUUCACAAGCUAACAACUUAGUCUACCACAUGUUCUUGGAUGCUGACAGAAGACGUGAGACUCCUGGGUCAGAGACCAAGGAAUUGAUUCCUAACAUGAGCCACGUUCACCUCAGUCUCCUUGCCACGAGUUCCAUGGGCAUGACGGGAAGGAGGACAGGUGGAUGCUGCUCAUUUGGGGAUUUGCAUUUCAGCUGAGGAACCAAUCCUGUGCUUGGGAAACCCCGAUCUUUUAAAGGGGGCUGCUAGCAAAUCUAGCCCACCUUUGCCUGGAGGGAGAGAUUAUGUUGAGUAUACUGGUCAGGAAACACAUCAGCCCUCUGCCCCGGGAGCGACGGUCUCUGUCUUCAAAGACCUCUUGCUAUACAAGCAUCCUUGGGAAGGUAGUCUGGAACAAAAGCUGGGCAGAAACUCAGGAAACUCAGCAGAUGC